rnacentral:rRNA from 1 species
UACGGAGGGGGCUAGCGUUGUUCGGAAUUACUGGGCGUAAAGCGCACGUAGGCGGCUUUGUAAGUUAGAGGUGAAAGCCCAGGGCUUAACCCUGGAAUUGCCUUUAAGACUGCAUCGCUCGAAUUGUGGAGAGGUGAGUGGAAUUCCGAGUGUAGAGGUGAAAUUCGUAGAUAUUCGGAAGAACACCAGUGGCGAAGGCGACUCACUGGACACAUAUUGACGCUGAGGUGCGAAAGCGUGGGGAGCAA